CAAGGAGUCUAAUUCGUAGAGUGAUAAAACAAAAUGUAAAGCAUUGUGCAUUACACAUCACAUGCAUUUGUGAUGGGAAUUGAAGGUUGCAAUUAUUCCUCAUGAAUGAGGAAUUCCCAGUAAUUUCAGGGCAUAAACUUGCUUUGAUUAAG
rnacentral:ncRNA from 1 species